rnacentral:rRNA from 1 species
GAAAGUUGAAAAGUACUUUGAAGAGAGAGUAAACAGUGCGUGAAACCGCUCAGAGGUAAACGGGUGGAGUUGAACUGCUUGUUCUGUGAAUUCAGCUGGUGACUGUAUUAUGAUCUUGGUUAUAUUGAUUGGACAGCGGGGUCUGUGUAGCAGCAGGUCUUUGCCUUCGGGUGAGGAUGCGCGAUUUACUUAUCAAGUAAUGUGCGCCUCGUUUGUUCUUCGAAUCGGUUGCCAGUGCACUUUCUCAGAGCGCUCAUCACGACCGGCACUGCUGUCUGGCUGUUGUGGUUAAACCGAUUUGGCAUAGUUCUUGUAGCUUUGUCGAAUCGGGAUGGCAGGUAGCUCGUUGGCUUGCUUGUGGUUCGCUGCAGGUGUUUGGCUUUCGGGUGUAAUCAGCUGACCAUGAUGGUUCUGUACAGUGUGUCGGAGACAGCGGCUUGUGGUGUGUGCAUGUGUGGUGGUUUGCAGGCAUCUCUGGGUUUGGUUGCCUUGUUCGCUUGUCAAAGCAAGCCUGGCAAUAGCCUUGAGACGUUCUGUGGACUGCUGCAUGUGUGACAUCUUCACAGGGCCGACAGUCUGUGAUGUUGUGGUAGACUAUCCACCUGACCCGUCUUG